GCCUUCGUGAUGUAACUGGAAGCAUAGUCGACUCGUAUUUGAGAGGUCCAAGUUCAAGUCCCGGCGAGGGCA
rnacentral:tRNA from 1 species